ACCACCCCUUCGGGGGCGGAUGGUGGAACCAGCGGCGGACGGGUGAGUAACACGUGGGCAACCUGCCUGCAAGACCGGGAUACUGCGGGAAACCGGAGCUAAUACCGGAUAAGAGGCUUUUCCGCAUGGGGGAGCCUUAAAAGGCGGCGGAAGUCGUCACUUGCAGAUGGGCCCGCGGCGCAUUAGCUAGUUGGUGAGGGAGGGCUCACCAAGGCGACGAUGCGUAGCCGACCUGAGAGGGUGACCGGCCACACUGGGACUGAGACACGGCCCAGACUCCUACGGGAGGCAGCAGUAGGGAAUUUUCGGCAAUGGGGGGAACCCUGACCGAGCAACGCCGCGUGAGCGAGGACGGCCUUCGGGUUGUAAUGCUCUGUCAUGUGGGAAGAACGGCUAGGAGAGGGCAUGCUCUUAGCGUGACGGUACCACAGGAGGAAGCCCCGGCUAACUACGUGCCAGCAGCCGCGGUAACACGUAGGGGGCGAGCGUUGUCCCGGAAUUAUUGGGCGUAAAGGGCGCGCAGGCGGUCUCUUAAGUCUGAUGUGAAAGGCCAC
rnacentral:rRNA from 1 species